UACGUAGGGUGCGAGCGUUGCCCGGAUUUAUUGGGCGUAAAGGGCGCGUAGGCGGCCACGCACGUCCGUUGUGAAAUCGCCCGGCUCAACUGGGCGGGGUCAGCGGAUACGGUGUGGCUCGAGCAAGCUAGGGGGCAAUGGAAUUCCCGGUGUAGUGGUGGAAUGCGCAGAUAUCGGGAGGAACACCGGUGGCGAAGGCGGUUCUCUGGGCCUGUUCUGGACGCUGAGGAGCGAAAAGCGUGGGGAGCGAACAGG
rnacentral:rRNA from 1 species